rnacentral:rRNA from 1 species
CCUACGGGCGGCAGCAGUGGGGAAUAUUGCGCAAUGGGGGAAAGCCUGACGCAGCAACGCCGCGUGAGUGAGGAAGUAUCUCGGUAUGUUAAGCUUCUUUAGUGGGGGAGUAGGAAGAGGGUACCCGACCAUCAAGCCCCUGCUAACUACGUGCGAGCAGCCUCGCUCAUUCGUAGGAGCCGAGCGUUAUCCGGAUUUACUGGGUGUAAAGGGAGCGUAGUCGGUUGCGCAAGUCAGAGGUGAAAGUUUGUGGCUAAACCGCGGAACUGCUUUGGAAACUGCGAGGCUGGAGUGCUGGAGAGGUAAGCGGAAUGCGUGGUGUAGCGGUGAAAUGCGUAGAUAUCAGGAGGAACACCGAUGGCGAAGGCGGCUUACUGGACAGUGACUGACGUUGAGGCUCGAAAGCGUGGGGAGCAAACAGGAUUAGAUACCCCUGUAGUC